GAGAUAUGUGGUCAGACCUGUC
rnacentral:miRNA from 14 species